UCUCUCUCUCUCUCUCUCUCUCUCUCUCUCUCUCUCUCUCUCUCUCUCUCUCUCUCUCUCUCUCUCUCUCUCUCGCUCUCUCUCUCUCUCUCUCUUGUUCUGCCUCUUCUUCUUUAUUGAGUUGCCAUUCUGUAUAUGGUGAAGCUAUGGCACCAAUAUGCUCUUUACUCUAGCAUGGUUUUCAUUUCAUUCUCUUUCCACUGUUUUAUUUUCCUUUCUGCCCAUAAAUGGUUCUCUUGUUUUAUCAUUCUCGUAUCUAUCCAUUCCACUGUGUAUUUUGACAGUAAACAUCAUGCAGGUGCAUUUCAGAUCAAGGUAUUAAACUAUAUGACAUGCAGCAUGAAGACCCAAAGCCAACUUUGCGUGCAUGCUGUGCACAUUGAUCAAUGCAGGAAGAGGUGAGGAUAAAUACAAAUAAAGAAAACUAACAGAUCCCCUGCUAAGACUACUAUAAUCAAUAAAAGGCUUUCUUUUUCAUUUAUAUAUCCUUUUAUUAUCAAACAUAAAACCAAAACCUUCAUCCACGACAUGCCAAUCCAAUCUAGAGUUGUAUCCUUGGCAACAGGAAUAUUACUUGCUAUAUUUUCAUGGAUUAGAUAUUUCAUGUCUGAAUGUUGCUUUCAAUCCGCAAGCAAAAAUGCAGUCAGAAAAAUAAAAAUGCAUUCUGUUGUUGCUAGCUUCGUUUUAUAGUCACUUUGAUGUGUUUUAUUCUUCUCCAUAAUUCCUAUACAAGCACUAAUUAAAGGAAAAAAGGAAAAAAAGACAUCUUUUAUAAACAAUAAAGUUCCCUAUUUUUAUCAUUACACAUUUUCUUCUGGGGCCUCCAGUUAGUUGCAUGGAAUUUGCAUUGUUCUGUUAUUGGUCAUUGUUUAUACAGGGAUAAUCAGCUGUACUCUUUACUUAAUAUCGUAUAGCAUUAGUAUGUUUAUAUUUAUGAAAGAGUGGAAUACACAAGCCUGUAUAAUCAUGUCAAAACACAAUUUUUCCAAUUUUUUUUUUCCUUAUUCAAGUUCACAUAUAUUGAGUUAAAUAGUUAUUUCAUUAACCUGAGAUGUCUCACAUACUUUAUCUCAAAAUAAAAUUAUGUUGGAUAUUAUAACAUUAAUAAUUUUUCAUAUUUAAUUUUGGGCAAGUAAACUAGUUUCCUAAGCUUUACAUUCUAUGUUUACCUUAAUUUUUCCUUGUUUUCCUAUUUUUCAAUUUUUUGGUUGUUUUCUCUUAAUUAUUGAUGGAUCAAUUAGAUUGAUGUCACUGAUCAUUGCCUGCAGCUGUUAACAGAUCGGCAAUCUUUCUGGUUGAUCGCAAUAAGGGAAUCGGAGCUGGGAGGUGAACAACAUCAAAGGUAAUUUGAUGGAUGACCAAGUUUUGUUCUGGUAUAGUUUAACUUUUUCAUGGAUGGAUAGAUUCGAUACUCGUGCUAGCCUUACUAUUUGCCUUUGUACAUUCCUGCAAUGUCUUAACAGUUCCAAAAGCAGCGCAGAAUCACUCUAACAAGUAAACAUCACGACAAGAAAUCUCUAAGGUCUUAUGGAAUCACAAGAUUCUGCACAAUUGUCUGUUUAACUUCAAGAAAACGAGCAAGGUCAAUAAGGUUGAAUGAAGGCUUUGACUCUUCCCUAUGCAUUCCAGCUAUGAGUUUGUUAGGGUCAAUGCUCACAAGUAUCUCAGCGAAAACUCAGUUUUGUUCUGCUAAUAUGUAAACAUGGUUCUUCUGGUUCCUUUGUCCCAGCUGAUUCAACCAUGGAAAAACUACAUUUUUAUUUGUUUAUAGAGGAAUGAUUCUCUCAUAUGAGAACCGCCAUUCACGCAAUAUUCUCCUCACUAAAAAGUGUGAUCAAGAAUUCUUAGUCCUCAUUCACUUUCAGUGCUUUCCCUUCCCGGUAUGAAUGUGCCAAUGUGUAAUACACUGACAAGAACAAAGAAGGGUUGUUACCUCAAAAUGCAGGUUUCAGCUCCCCUGUAUUAAUGGUAGUUUCAAUUUUAUCCAUGCAAAACCUUUUUGAAUGUGUUUGGUAUGAUAGAAGUCAUUUUCGUAAGAUGUUUUCCGGUGUUUAGUGUGAUCUAUAGCUCACGGGGUCGAGCCGUGGAAGCAGCCAUUAAUGCUUGUAUUAGGGUGGAUUGUCUACAACUCUACAUCAUACCCGUUGGAGUGCAGUCGUUCCUCGGAAACUGCGUGAAUACGGGAUGCCUUGUGUACCGUGC
rnacentral:lncRNA from 1 species